AUCCAGCUGACGAGUCUCAAAUGGGACGAAAAGACCGUCCUGGAU
rnacentral:hammerhead_ribozyme from 1 species